UUUCCCAUGCACUCGAUCGUCUGUGCUCACUUUUCUUGCCGGAAAAUUUUCAGUGAUCUACGCAUAUACUCAUACAAGUUGUAUACACAUGUUAUGUAUAUUGGUAUUAUGCUGCAUAUCUUCUAUGGAGUAGCUCAUUCCUCAUUGCUAAGAUUGAGCAAGGGAUUCUAUGAUAAAGCAGUCUGGAUAAAUGAUUCUGCAGUAGCUUAGAAUAAUUCCUCAACAGUUGGAUCCAGAAGUUGACUUCAGUGGUUUGUGGAUCGUUGUCAGUCAGAGUUACCCCCCAACAAGGGACUAGCAGUUGAAGGGACAAACCGUCAUUCAUUUUCUUCACUAUGAAGUUCAAACAUCUUUUGCCCCCGUUGAAUGCCAUGAGUUUCCACUUGGUACCAGUGCAAUAUACUGAGUGGCUUGUAGGCAAUGGGAUUACAAAACCCGUUCACUAUAAUGAGAUACAUGCUCCAUCAGUUGGCAUUGGAAGCAUGAGUAUGGCUA